rnacentral:lncRNA from 1 species
GGUUUAUAGUUCAAACAAAACUAACAUAGAAGAUUAAGUAUGUACAUGUGUAUGGUGUGAAUUCAUACUUAUUUAAAGUGGUUUUCUUUUUUUUUUUCUUUUAAACCCAACACAUUUUCCAUUUGCAUUAGCAUGAUGCCAUCUCUAGCUAGUCCCACCGUAGGGGCCUUUUAAAAUUAAAACUGCAAGCCUGUAUCAGUGUGUUCAUCAUCAUUUUCCAUUAUUUAAACUUUUAAAUCUUUGGUGUUUAACAUACCCUCUUGACUUUUUUUUUAAUAGUGGUUAUGACGUAUUAAAUGGUAGAAGUUGGAUAUGUGAGAAGAUUGAUCGCAAUAGAAACCAAGGUGUUCAAGCUUCUUGCUCCUUAAAAUAAUCAUCUUACUCAUGUAAAAGUUGAGAACAGGAAAGAUUCCUUGUUAGUGUUUUGCUGUAAAAAGAAAAUUGUCUUCUGUUGGGCCUACAAGGAUGGAUACUUGUCCUCAGGGAGGAAUGAAUUUGGUUUCCUCCUUCCACACGAGAUCUGUGUUCACCUAUAAUCAUGCUCUUUAGAAUAGAGCCAAGACAGUGGCGUAGGUGAAGACUUAGUUGCUCCAAGGGGAGUGAAGUUUGUCUGUCACUUGGCAGUGGUAUUACUAUACUUGUUAGGUUAAAAUUAAACCAUUAAGGUCUCUUAGUGCAGUUUUUCCUGUCUCUUUUGCAUAAGCCAUACAAGCAAAAUAGUGAACAUUGCUAUGCACAUUCCCUGCUUGUAAGCAGCUGGCAUUCACACUGUAAUAUCUUUGUGUCUGUUCCACUGUUUGUUUGUUGUUUUGGAUUUGUUUGUUUUGUUGGUUCUAAGUUUAUUUUUUCUAAUUGAUCACCUUCCAUUGGACAUAAAUAUGUACUGAGGUGGAGAUCUGUUCAUGCUCUCUCAUGAUACUUUAAUCCUUGUUUAUAUUUAUUUUUCCUUAUAUGCAAGAAGUGGGAAUAGUUGCUUUUUGACUUUCUAUACCACCACAGCAAGAUAGACUGUAAUCGCUAGGGUGAUACAAGACUUAAAAAACCAUUCAGGAAGUGUCUGGGUGUCCUGCUUUAUGAAAGGAAUGAUACAACUUAAUGUGGUGUCAGUAAGUCUGUCUUUUAGUAAGGGAUAACAUUUGGGGUAAGCUGGCUUGUAACUGGCUGAAACCCUUUUUGUUGUAAUUAAAUGCAACUUGCUCC